rnacentral:snRNA from 1 species
AGAUGUGAGGGCAAUCUGGGCUGUGACGUCUGUCACCCCAUUCACUACCAGGGUUGAUCUGGCUGAUCUGGCUGGCCAGGCAGGUGUCCCCUUCCACCCCUCAUGUGUGUCCCUCCCAAAGCUGCACGCUUGGUGGAAGAGGACGACCAUUCCCGAUAGAGGAGGACCUGUUCUUUGCUCAAGUACGAGUAGCUGCGCUCCCCUGCUAGAACCUCCAAACAAACUCAAGUGUCCGAAGCCAGCUGGCUGUGCUCAAGCCCCAGCUCUGUU